rnacentral:rRNA from 1 species
UUACUGGGCUUUAACUGACGCUGAGGCUCGAAAGCGUGGGGAGCAAACAGGAUUAGAUACCCUGGUAGUCCACGCUGUAAACGAUGAUUACUAGGUGUGGGGGACUGACCCCUUCCGUGCCGCAGUUAACACAAUAAGUAAUCCACCUGGGGAGUACGACCGCAAGGUUGAAACUCAAAGGAAUUGACGGGGGCCCGCACAAGCAGUGGAGUAUGUGGAUUAAUUCGAAGCAACGCGAAGAACCUUACCAGGUCUUGACAUCGUAUGCAUAGUGUAGAGAUACAUGAAAUCCCUUCGGGGACAUAUAGACAGGUGGUGCAUGGUUGUCGUCAGCUCGUGUCGUGAGAUGUUGGGUUAAGUCCCGCAACGAGCGCAACCCUUACUGUUAGUUGCUACGCAAGAGCACUCUAGCAGGACUGCCGUUGACAAAACGGAGGAAGGUGGGGAUGACGUCAAAUCAUCAUGCCCCUUAUGACCUGGGCCUCACACGUACUACAAUGGCUAUCAACAAAGUGAAGCGAGACCGCGAGGUGGAGCAAAACACAAAAAAUAGUCUUAGUUCGGAUUGUAGGCUGCAACCCGCCUACAUGAAGUCGGAAUG